GUGAAGAAAUACAUUUAUGGCUUACUCAUAUUAUUAUUAUUAAAACAAAUAGGAGCGUUAAGAUGUUAUUCAUGUUCAGGGGUAAUUAGUAAUAAUGGUUGCUACAACCAGCAGAACAUGUCACAUAUUGACUGCCGAGUAGAAGAAACACAUUGUAUUAAAAUAAGAAAUAAAGAAUAUUUCAUACUCAGAUUGUGCGGUACAGACUGCGAGUACUUCCCUGUUAACGGGAGCAAAUGUUACCAAUGUGUCACUGAUUUUUGCAAUUCAACAAAAUGUACUACCUUUUCUACUCUGUUGCUCUGCAUACCAUUCCUUAUUUUAUUUGAAUAUAUCUUUAAUUAA